rnacentral:lncRNA from 1 species
ACUGCAAGCUAUAAACUCUGCAAGUGGUGCACCCGACGUGAUCGCCUUGAAGUUAUGCGUGAAAGGAGGAGAGCUCAUCAAUUUUAAGAAAAUCCCGGUAAGGGACAGUCCUGACUACCAUCAGGUGGACAGGACCCACGCGAAAAAUACCAGGGGUUCGGUUAUCAUGGGUCAGGAAAUGAACAAAGAAUAAUUUUUUUUUUUUUUUGAGAUGGAGUCUCACUCUGUCGCCCAGGCUGGAGUGCAGUAGCGUGAUCCCGGCUCACUGCAACCUCCACCUCCCUGGUUCAAGCUAUUCUCCUGCCUCAGCCUCCUGAAUAGCUGGGAUUACAGGUGCACGUCACCCCACAACAGGACUUAAUUAACCUUGCCUUCAAGGUGUACAAUAAUAGAGAAAAGUUACAAUUACUUGCCUCUGCUGUGAGACAAAACCCAGCUGCACCUCCAGCACACGAGAACUUCAAAAUGCCUAAGCCGCACAUGCCUAAACCGCAGUGGUCAAGCAUUCCUACAGGACCUUCUUCAUCAGGAUCUUGCUUCAAGUGCCAGAAAUCUGGCCACUGGGCCAAGAAAUGCCCACAGCCCGGGAUUCCUCCUAAGCCGUGUCCCAUCUGUGCAGGACCCCACUGAAAAUCAGACUGUCCCACUCGCCUCGCAGUCACUCCCAGAGCUCUGGGAUCUCUGGCCCAAGACUCUCUGACUGACUCCUUCCCAGAUCUUCUCAGCUUAGCGGCUGAAGACUGAUGCUGUCUGAUCACCUUCGAAGCCUCCCGGGCCAUCACGGACACUUUGGGUAACUCUUACAGUGGAGGGUAAGUCACCCUUCUUAAUCAAUAUGGAGGCUACCAACUCCACAUUACCUUCUUUU